rnacentral:rRNA from 1 species
UACGGAAGGCAGCAGGUGGGGAAUAUUGCACAAUGGGCGCAAGCCUGAUGCAGCGACGCCGCGUGGGGAUGACGGCCUUCGGGUUGUAAACUCCUUUCGCUAGGGACGAAGCUUUUUGUGACGGUACCUAGAUAAGAAGCACCGGCUAACUACGUGCCAGCAGCCGCGGUAAUACGUAGGGUGCGAGCGUUGUCCGGAAUUACUGGGCGUAAAGGGCUCGUAGGUGGUUUGUCGCGUCGUCUGUGAAAUUCCGGGGCUUAACUCCGGGCGUGCAGGCGAUACGGGCAUAACUUGAGUACUGUAGGGGUAACUGGAAUUCCUGGUGUAGCGGUGAAAUGCGGCAGAUAUCAGGAGGAACACCGAUGGCGAAAGGCAGGUUACUGGGCAGGUUACUGACGCUGAGGGAGCGAAAAGCAUGGGGUAGCGAAACAGGGAUUAGGAUACC